UGAUGAAAUCAAAGUAUUGCU
ensembl:piRNA 21ur-1310 ncRNA